UACAGAGGGUGCAAGCGUUAAUCGGAAUUACUGGGCGUAAAGCGUGCGUAGACGGUUAUGUAAGUCAGGUGUGAAAGCCCCGGGCUCAACCUGGGAAUUGCAUUUGAGACUGCAUAGCUAGGGUGCGGAAGAGGGAAGCGGAAUUUCCGGUGUAGCGGUGAAAUGCGUAGAUAUCGGAAGGAACAUCAGUGGCGAAAGCGGCUUCCUGGUCUGCUCUUGACGCUGAGGCGCGAAAGCUAGGGUAGCAAACGGG
rnacentral:rRNA from 1 species